rnacentral:lncRNA from 1 species
GACGAUGGUGUUACCAUAAGAAGUACCUUCAAAAACAAAGAUGGAACAUGAAAACUAUUCAUUAUCGUCAAUAGAGUUUGCACUCUACAAACCACUCUUUAUUUUUUUAAUGUUGUUCUCAUUUUUAUGUUUUGGAAUUUUGAAUAUAAGAGAAUACAAACAUCCCUAAUGUAAAUCAUAUUAUUAUGUUAUGUAGGGUAGUAUUUCUGUGAAACCAGUCUUUUCAUGAAUAAGAUGCCGCGACUAAUUU